GUUAAAUAUUUUUAAUUGUACGAGUAGUUGUGAAUUCAUUUUAGUACCAUAUACAGUAUCAUAAAUCACUUAAAUAAUAUUAAUUUGUAGUUUUUUAUACGAAUAGAAAUGAAUAUCUUCUGUGGAGUAUUAGCAUAUCUAAUUUUUUGCCUCAAUAGUGCAUUUGUAGCGACAUAUGCAACAGAUAUAAUAGACACUUUAACAGAAGAUUUAAAAAUCAUAAGAGUUUUCAGAUUAAAAUCAAAGUUUACCGAUUGCAAAUAUAGUGAUAAUAAAAGCUUAAGUAAAAAAUGUAAAUGCUUCGAAGUUGAGGAUUAUCGAGAGGACAACGCUGUUGGUAUAGCAAUUACUGAAGAUGGCAAAACUUUAGUCAACGGAAACAAAUAUUUGGAGUUUGUUGGAAAUAAAUUAUACCCUGAAAAUUCUUUUGGGAACAAUGUUGUAUACGAUGAAUCUGCUUGGACUUUAACUAAUGAAUUUGAUGGAGAUAUACUACAAAUGAAUACAAAUUACAAACAUUCCGGUAGUGCUUUAAAAAUUACAUGGGUACAAAAGUCAACAAUGGAUGCAUGCAUAUCAUUAAAUUUAGAUAAUCAAUUAGAUAACAUACAUUUGACUGUUUUAAAGGACGGAGAUAGUAAUUCAAUUUUAAGUGAAUCACUUAAAGUUACAGACAGACAAGUGACUUUGAGAAUGAAAUUAAACAAUACGUUUUUAGAAAACAGUAAAUACCAUUUAAUAAUUGAUAGAACUUCCUUAAAUAAUAGUGAUUCACCAAAAAAAUUGGUUAUUUGGAGAAUAGCCCAAUGUACAGACAACAAUAAAAAUUAUGAAUUUUAUAAAAGGAGUAUAAACAGUGGUCCGAAAUUAAUUUGCAAAGAAGGCAGCUAUUAUCAAAAUGAAUAUCCUCCAUAUGAUCAUAAAGGUCAGAAUGCAGUGAAAAUAAAUUCGGAUUUAACUGUUCUUUUUCUUGCUCGUCAAAGGAAACGGGUUGUCAAAAUUUAAUAUUUUUCACACCGUUUAUGAAAGAAAUGAAGUCGGCAUUUUGUGCAUCGGGUUAUUCUGGGCAAUAUUGCGAUCAAAAAUGUAAAUCUGGCACUUAUGGUCGCGGUUGUCUAAAAAAAUGUCCAGAUAGUUGUGCAAACACGUGUGAAAUUUACACAGGAAUAUGCCCUUAGGAAUAUAGCAAAGAUCUCACAAGUUUAUCAAGAUUUUUCAAACAUAUUCGAAUUAUUCGAUCUAACGAAGAGUAACAAAUGACUUGUUAAAUUGUUUUUAUUUUUUUGUAAAUAAAUAAAAUGAUAUAUGUUUGACUUCUUAA